CAAGCAGGUCGGGUGGUCGCGCUCUGCUUGUCAGGGUGAGGAAAGUCCGGACUCCGCAGAGCACGGUGCUGGCUAACAGCCAGGCGGGGUGACCCGACGGAUAGGGCCACAGAAACAUACCGCCUGAAGCGAUUCAGGUAAGGGUGAAAAGGUGGUGUAAGAGACCACCGGCGGGGCUGGUGACAGUCCCGGCCAGGUAACCCCCACCGGGAGCAAGGCCAAGCAGGGGGGAGUGCCUUGGGGCCCGGGGAGCUGCUCGUUCCCCUUGACCUCCGGGUAGGCCGCGUGAGGCGCCCGGUAACGGGCGUCCCAGAGAGAUGACCACCACCCUGUUGGCUGAUGGCGGAUAGCUUAUAGCUGAUGGGCAGCCGAUCUCAAUUGGGAGCGGAACUGCCAUCGGCCACUGGCCAUCGGCCAGGUAAGGGGACAGAAUCCGGCUUACAGACCUGCUUGGAUG
rnacentral:RNase_P_RNA from 1 species